GUGGAUUAUUUAUUAAGCUGAGUCUCAGCGAUAAAAGUGAUGAAAAACCUUUUAAAUCAUAAAAGAUAGUAGAUUUUAUUCUCUACUUGACUCUUUUAAUGGAUUGCUUGUUCCGCUGCAGUUAAACUUGAUGUUUUUAUAUUUUAUCAGUUUAACACUGUUGAAGGCUAACGAUAAUUUAUUCUGCAUUAUCUUAGUCAUAAUAUUUCUUACUGG
rnacentral:lncRNA from 1 species